AUUUAAGAGUUUGAAGAAGAUCCUGAAAGACAACGAUCUCUAAGACACUAUCUUAUUAACGUUGGUGGUGUCACAGCUAGAGAUGCUCUCAACCAAUUUCUGAAGGAAGCCAUGACGGAUAGCCUGACACAAAAAUUCUCUUGGACUGGAAAGUCUGUUUCAGAUAAAGAGAAUCUCCGACCGUUAUUUAAUACCUGUAUCGGAAAGGUAUUUUUUGGUUUCGAUGAUUGUUUACGCAGAUGCUUUACGUGAGUGUUGAACAAUACCACAGCCACAUGAUCGUACAGAAUUUGCGAGACUGAUGCAAGAGGCAAUUCGGGGCGCACGAAAAAGAUUGCAGGAUGCAAAACGACGUGCCA